rnacentral:rRNA from 1 species
AUUGAACGCUGGCGGCAUGCCUUACACAUGCAAGUCGAACGGCAGCACGGGAGCAAUCCUGGUGCGAGUGGCGAACGGGUGAGUAAUAUAUCGGAACGUGCCCAGUCGUGGGGGAUAACGCAGCGAAAGCUGUGCUAAUACCGCAUACGAUCUAUGGAUGAAAGCGGGGGAUCGCAAGACCUCGCGCGAUUGGAGCGGCCGAUAUCAGAUUAGCUAGUUGGUGGGUAAGAGCCCACCAAGGCGACGAUCUGUAGCUGGUCUGAGAGGACGACCAGCCACACUGGAACUGAGACACGGUCCAGACUCCUACGGGAGGCAGCAGUGGGGAAUUUUGGACAAUGGGCGCAAGCCUGAUCCAGCAAUGCCGCGUGCAGGAUGAAGGCCUUCGGGUUGUAAACUGCUUUUGUACGGAACGAAACGGCUCUUUCUAAUAAAGAGGGCUAAUGACGGUACCGUAAGAAUAAGCACCGGCUAACUACGUGCCAGCCGCCGCCGUAA